rnacentral:rRNA from 1 species
GACAGAGGAUGCAAGCAUUAUCCGGAAUGAUUGGGCGUAAAGCGUCUGUAGGUUGCUUUUCAAGUCUGCCGUCAAAUCCCAGGGCUCAACCCUGGACAGGCAGUGGAAACUAACAAGCUGGAGUACGGUAGGGGCAGAGGGAAUUUCCGGUGGAGCGGUGAAAUGCGUAGAGAUCGGAAAGAACACCAACGGCGAAAGCACUCUGCUGGGCCGACACUGACACUGAGAGACGAAAGCUAGGGGAGCGAAUGGG